rnacentral:snRNA from 1 species
AGCUUUGCGCAGUGGCAGUAUUGUAGCCAAUGAGGCUUAUCCGAGGUGCGAUUAUUGCUAAUUGAAAACAAGCAUUGAUAGGCCAAGAUGAAAUGUAGUAAGGAUUGAUGCAAGAUC